GAUGAAGAACGCAGCGAAAUGCGAUAAGUAAUGUGAAUUGCAGAAUUCAGUGAAUCAUCGAAUCUUUGAACGCACAUUGCGCCCCUUGGUAUUCCGAGGGGCAUGCCUGUUCGAGCGUCAUUAUAACCCCUCAAGCUCAGCUUGGUGUUGGGGCCUGCUGCACUGGCAGCCCUUAAAAUCAGUGGCGGCGCCAUCUGGCUCUAAGCGUAGUAAUUCUUCUCGCUAUGGAGUCCUGGUGGAUGCUUGCCAUCAACCCCCAAUGUUUCUCUGGUUGACCUCGGAUCAGGUAGGGAUACCCGCUGAACUUAAGCAUAUCAAUAAGCGGAGGA
rnacentral:misc_RNA from 1 species